GGAAGAUCAUCGUCCCCGGUGGGGCGGCUGGACUUCAAAUUCAGAUGGGGUCGCCAGCGGUCCCUGGCAGGUUCGACUCCUGUGAUCUUCCGCCA
rnacentral:tRNA from 1 species